UACAGAGGAUGCAAGCGUUAUCCGGAAUGAUUGGGCGUAAAGCGUCUGUAGGUGGCUUUUUAAGUCCGCCGUCAAAUCCCAGGGCUCAACUCUGGACAGGCGGUGGAAACUACCAAGCUGGAGUACGGUAGGGGCAGAGGGAAUUUCCGGUGGAGCGGUGAAAUGCGUAGAGAUCGGAAAGAACACCAACGGCGAAGGCAGCUCGCUGGGACGUCACUGACGCUGAGACGCGAAAGCGUGGGGAGCAAACAGG
rnacentral:rRNA from 1 species